rnacentral:rRNA from 1 species
GACGAACGCUGGCGGCGUGCUUAACACAUGCAAGUCGAACGGAAAGGCCCUGCUUUUGUGGGGUGCUCGAGUGGCGAACGGGUGAGUAACACGUGAGUAACCUGCCCUUGACUGUGGGAUAACUUCAGGAAACUGGGGCUAAUACCGGAUAGGAGCUCCUGCUGCAUGGGGGGGGUUGGAAAGUUUCGGCGGUUGGGGAUGGACUCGCGGCUUAUCAGCUUGUUGGUGGGGUAGUGGCUUACCAAGGCUUUGACGGGUAGCCGGCCUGAGAGGGUGACCGGCCACAUUGGGCCUGCGAUACGGCCCAGACUCCUACGGGAGGCAGCAGUGGGGAAUAUUGCACAAUGGGCGGAAGCCUGAUGCAGCAACGCCGCGUGCGGGAUGACGGCCUUCGGGUUGUAAACCGCUUUCGCCUGUGACGAAGCGUGAGUGACGGUAAUGGGUAAAGAAGCACCGGCUAACUACGUG